ensembl:antisense
GAUCUUUCGUGGGCGUGCACUGUGCCUUUGUGAGUGGAGGCCCGCAAGGUCUGGACCCUGGGGGAAGAGAGCCUCUAACUUCUUCCACCUCUCUCAGAUCAGACACCCUCCCCCUAAGAUUCUCUCUGAUGGGAUGCUGAAAUUACUUACAGUCUGGUUGCAAAGGAGCUAGCUCCAGAACUGGAGGGUGGAUUUGUGCUCGCAUAUGAAGAAGGCCCUUCAUAUAGAGUCACCUUCACGAUUUCAUAACUAAGUGUUUUGGAGAUGCCAGUACCAUGAGAUGACCACCAAGAGCAGCAGCAGUGGAGUACAGGCAGCUGGAGCCUAGAAGACAACCUGUGUGUUACAAAGGGCAUGGCUGGAGAAGUGACCCAAGCCCUUGGAAGAGCUCAGAAGAUCUAUGAUGAGCUCUGUGGGCUGCAUGGGACUGUAGCAGCUUAACCCAUCUGUGCAUUGUGGGUUACUAUCAUGGAGCAACCCAAUACUUCUGUUACCUUCACUAGGCGCCCCAUCUGCUGCAGAGGAAAGUAGAGCUCAGUGUGAAAUGCAGCACUCAUUUAGGCCACGAGGAAGAAGGAACUGGAAGUUCAAAUAGGGACAGCUUCAAAGGGCUCUACUCCAAGUACACAAAUGCUCAUUUAAUUUCUUCAGGUAAAAGAAUUAAAGUGGCUUGGAUAACUCAUCAGGAAAGGCUCUGAAAGUUGUUGGAAAGUGAUUCUAACUCAUGGGAGGUGCCCUGUCACUGGGGAUGGCCUGAAGUUAGUAUUGAAACUGCAGAUUAUCUCGUCUUCAUUUUGCUUUCUCACCAUGAGCUAGCCUCAUUAGCCAGAGAAAUCUAAGGAUGCAGCAGACCCUGCCUGCCCAGUGUUGAGACAACUGAUAACAGCUUCCAUAUGCAGCUUCUUUAUGUGGAUGCUGGAAUUUUGAACUCUAAAUGCAUGCUCAACUGACAAGCACUUUUCCGACUGAGCCAUCAUCCUAGUCCUUAGUGUAGUGUUUUACAAAAGCUUUCUGAAAUGUUGGUUUGUAUCAUGUGUGGUCUCUCUGUAGCACUGAGAAGACGGGUUAAGUUUUGCCAUAAAGUUUGCACUGAGGAGCAGGAAACAGAAAAUGACCAUAUAAACAAACAAGCAAACAUGUAGUGUAUUUUUCAAUGAUGAGUGUGAUCACCGGCACGCUGCCUGAGAACCUGCUUAUGCAGCUUAGACUGAAGUCUUUGGAAGUCUAUGGGCUCUUAUCUUAGUCAAGACUGGGGACAAUGGUUUGUUAAUUCUUAUAACUUUAAUAACCCAUGUCUCAAAAUCAGAAAGAAGUGUUUAAAUGUUUGUGAUAAUCUUAUUACUAUAAAUGCUUAUAGCUCUUGCUCAGAUGUUCAUUUCUAACUGCUUUUCAAUCAGCUGCCUCUGCUUUCAUGGGGAUCAGGCCCAUGCUUGUAUGAUAUUAGCAUAUGCUUCCAGCUAAGAGCUUGAAAAAUGCCCACUAUGCUAUCUUAGAGUGAUUGUUUGCAUCCCGUGUAUAAAGUUAAACUAGAGGAACUUCUGUUUAAGUGAUUAAUUUUCUGGCAUUCUUCUGUAUUUAGUUUUGACUCUGGAGUUAGUAGUUACAUAAAGUGAAAUUUUACAGAACUUUCUUCCAUUAGGGUAAAGUAUUUGGACCAUGAACAAUUAUACUUAAGAUAAAAUGUGAUAAUAUUAAAACUAAAAUUAUCUAAAUUCAAGAAAUUCUAUAAAAUGUUCAAGAGCUUUUAAAAUGGAUAAUGAUGUGUGUGCAAGUAUGGAUGCAUCUUCUCUUGUGAAAAAAAUUUCAGUAUAUUUAUUCUUAAUAUUCUGAAUAAUCAUAUGUUUGGGACCAUAAAGAGAAUAUAGAAAAUCAUAUCUUUAUUUCC